ACAUCUCCAGCUUUGCUGUUUACCCUCCUGCCCCUUAACUUCCCUGGGCAGCAGCUGGGACUGAGAAGCCAGGUGUAAGUCCGAAAAAGAAAGAAAGAGAAAAGCCAGUCCUCAUUUCCACCUAAGAGCCCAACAAAAGAAGAAAUUAUGAAGGAAACAUGGAAACAUAAUGAUACCAAGUGAAGCCAACAGACACAGAAGCACCCCAUGCCCAUUGACAACACAGCGGAAACAUUGAGAAAAGAAGAAGAAUCCAAAGGGUGACCAUGAGAAUGAGCAAGGGGCUUUCUCUGAAAAUAUACUGACCCCUCCAUCUAUUCUCUCCAAAGAAAAACAAGAGGUGGAGAAGGAAAGGGGAGGAAGAAGAGGAGGAGGAGGAAGAAAAGGAGAAGGAGGAAGAGGAGGAGGAGAAGGAAGAAGAGGAGAAGGAAGAA